UACGUGAAACCGUUCAGGGGUAAACCUGAGAAACCCGAAAGGUCGAAGGGGGACAUUCAACCGCGCUCGGUCGGCGGCGAGAGGCGGUCGCGCNGACGGUGAUCCCUCCGGGGUGAUCCGCGCCGGCCGCCGACGUCCGUCUCCGAACACGUGCACUUGUCCCCUUGUAGGACGUCGCGACCCGUUGGGUGCCGGUCUACGGCCCUCGGUGGAGCCCGUGCGGAGCCUCGCGCUCCGUCCGGACCCGAGGUGUCCCGGCCGGCUCGCCCGACGGUAUACCGAUGGCGCGGGGCCGCGGCUCGAACGCGUCCGACCCUCCGCAAGUGCGGACGGUAACCCGGCGGUCGGACCUGGUCCGGCUCCGGGCCCGCCCGGCUGCUGGCGGAGGCGCUCUCGGACAGACUCCGUGCACGCCCGUCGGCGACGCUAUAGCUUUGGGUACUUUCAGGACCCGUCUUGAAACACGGACCAAGGAGUCUAGCAUGUGCGCGAGUCAUUGGGAUUGACUAAACCUAAAGGCGCAAUGAAAGUGAAGGCCCGCCUCGCGCGGGCCGAGGGAGGAUGGGCCGGAGCACGAUCCGGCCCCGCACUCCCGGGGCGUCUCGCUCUCAUCGCGAGGAGAGGCGCACCCAGAGCGUACACGCUGGGACCCGAAAGAUGGUGAACUAUGCCUGGUCAGGACGAAGUCAGGGGAAACCCUGAUGGAGGUCCGUAGCGAUUCUGACGUGCAAAUCGAUCGUCGGAACUGGGUAUAGGGGCGAAAGACUAAUCGAACCAUC
rnacentral:rRNA from 1 species